AAUUACCUAAAGUUAGAGUUUAAAUUUUAAAACCGACUAUUUGUGAUUAUUGGGAAUCUAAUUGGUUUGUGGUGUCGAAAACUUUCCAUAGAGAAAGGAUCCUAAAGCAAAUCAUGUGAUGCCCACCUCGUGCGAGCGGGCUUUAUCACGCAGACUCUCUUUAGGCUUUUU
rnacentral:other from 1 species